rnacentral:rRNA from 1 species
AUUGAACGCUGGUGGCAGGCUUAACACAUGCAAGUCGAGCGAGCGGCGGACGGGUGAGUAAUGUCUGGGAAACUGCCUGAUGGAGGGGGAUAACUACUGGCAACGGUAGCUAAUACCGCAUACCAUCAGAUGUGCCCAGAUGGGAUUAGCUAGUCGGUGGGGUAAUGGCUCACCUAGGCGACGAUCCCUAGCUGGUCUGAGCGGCUGACCAUGCACAAUGGAACUGAGACACGGUCCAGACUCCUACGUGAGGCAGCAGUGGUGAAUAUUGCACAAUGGGCGCAAGCCUAGUGCAGCAAUGCCGCGUGUGUGAAGAAGGCCUUCGGGUUGUAAAGCACUUUCAGCGAGGAGGCGUUACUCGCAGAAGAAGCACCGGCUAACUCCGUGCCAGCAGCCGCGGUAAUUC